rnacentral:misc_RNA from 1 species
AAAGUCGUAACAAGGUUUCCGUAGGUGAACCUGCGGAAGGAUCAUUAUUGAUUUUCAAAAGAUGUGCUGGCAAUCCUUCAUAGGUUUGCAUGUGCACUCUGCAAAAUCACCUUCUCUCUUACCCCAUUGUGCACACCCCAGUAGGCAAACAGAUUCACAGAGCAAUCUGCAAAUCUCAUUUGCCUAUGUUUUUAUCAAACACCAUAACAUGUCAGAAUGACGUAUGCAGUAAGCUUUAAACAAGCAGAAAUCUAAUACAACUUUCAACAAUGGAUCUCUUGGUUCUC